rnacentral:rRNA from 1 species
GAUGAACGCUGGCGGCGUGCCUAAUACAUGCAAGUAGAACGCUGAAGGAGGAGCUUGCUCUUCUGGAUGAGUUGCGAACGGGUGAGUAACGCGUAGGUAACCUGCCUGGUAGCGGGGGAUAACUAUUGGAAACGAUAGCUAAUACCGCAUGACAACAGUUAUUGCAUGAUAACUGUUUAAAAGGGGCAACUGCUCCACUACCAGAUGGACCUGCGUUGUAUUAGCUAGUUGGUGAGGUAACGGCUCACCAAGGCGACGAUACAUAGCCGACCUGAGAGGGUGAUCGGCCACACUGGGACUGAGACACGGCCCAGACUCCUACGGGAGGCAGCAGUAGGGAAUCUUCGGCAAUGGACGGAAGUCUGACCGAGCAAUGCCGCGUGAGUGAAGAAGGGUUUCGGAUCGUAAAGCUCUGUUGUAAGAGAAGAACGAGUGUGAGAGUGGAAAGUUCACACUGUGACGGUAUCUUACCAGAAAGGGACGGCUAACUACGUG